rnacentral:lncRNA from 1 species
UUAUUUUAGGGUUUUCAAGUUGAAAAUUGGAUGAAAUUAGGAAACAUCAAGCCUCUCUCUCAAAUCCCCUUGGUCGGCUACUUUGGAGAGCAAGAGUUAGCACUUUUGUGCUCUCCCAAGUUCUCAUUCUCUCAUCUCCAUCCAUCCUUGGUAAAUAGCAUUGGAGAGGUGCACACUAUUGUACCCAUUGAAGAGCUAUAGUGGAGAAUCAAGCAAGGAGAGAUCAAGCACUCUACUUGAACACCUUAUUAGGG